rnacentral:rRNA from 1 species
GUCGUAACAAGGUUUCCGUAGGUGAACCUGCGGAAGGAUCAUUCGCACAUCUUGAUAUAAACUACUGUGAAUCGUUCUGUGGUUAAUUGCAUUCAGAUCCUUUGGAGAUGUGUGUGAUUGAUCGCGGGUGGUGGGGCGAGUUUCUCGUCCUGCCGCUACACUGCCUACUGCAUGGCGCGUUUGUGUCAUCAACUGCUCUUGGCUAUUGCCAUUGAUUAUUUACAACUUUCAGCGAUGGAUGUCUCGGCUCGAACAACGAUGAAGGGCGCAGCGAAGUGCGAUAAGCAUUGUGAAUUGCAGAAUUCCGUGAACCGAUAGGAACUUGAACGCAUAUUGUGCUUUCGGGAUAUCCCUGAAAGCAUGCCUGCUUCAGUGUCUAUGCUUUGUUAUUCCAGCAGUCUUGCCAUAGUGCCAGCUGCUCUGAGUUCUCGUGCCUCAGGAUGCGCAUGCUCUUUGUUGGGCAAUGGUGCUCUUGAGGCAUUUGAUUUACAAGGUGCGAUUGUGCCGCCAGCUUACUGAGCAUUAAUAUGUGCAGAUGGCUGUGUGCGUGCAUUUGUGUCUUGUUUUAAUUUGCUGUGGCAUUGCGUCCAGCUUUCACGACAUGAAGUUAGGUUGGCUUACCCGCUGAAUUUAAGCAUAUAAGUAAGCGGAGGACAAGAAACUAAAUAGGAUUCCCUCAGUAAUGGCGAAUGAACAGGGAAAAGCUCAACAUGGAAAUUGUGGCCUCUGGCCUUGAAUUGUAAUCUCAAGAUGUAUUGCUAAUGGGGGUGCAGAUGUAAGCCUCUUGGAAAAGAGAAUCAUUGAGGGUGAGAGUCCCGUUUGUCAUCUGCAGUCCUCCGUGUACGGCAUACGUUCUAAGAGUCACGUUCCUCGGGAUUGGAGCGCAAACUGGGUGGUAAAUUUCAUCUCAAGCUAAAUAUGAGUUCGAGACCGAUAGCAAACAAGUACCAUGAGGGAAAGAUGAAAAGGACUUUGAAAAGAGAGUUAAAAGUGCCUGAACUUGCUGAAAGGAAAGCGGAUGGAACCAGUGUUGCUUGGUGAGAUUGUUGCGCGGUAAGGUGAGUUCCUGCGAUUGCAGCGCAAGCGUAAUUGCGGGUUUUGAUCUGGACGUGCGUAGUGUUUCUUGCCUUGUGUGUCAUCAACAGUGUAUGGGUGAGGACAACUCUUGGGACAUGGUAGCCUGCCUCCGGGUGUGUGAACGUGCCUUGCAGAACUCACCUGCAUACUGUUAUUUUUGUGUGGACCUCUUGGGUCCUUCACAACUUGAUGACAAAAUGGUUUUAUUCGACCCGUCUUGAAACACGGACCAAGGAGUCUAACAUAUUUGCGAGUUCUUGGGUGGAGAAACCUACGUGCGCAAUGAAAGUGACUACUGAGAUGCUAGCAUCAGAAGCCGACUGAUCAAUUGGGAGAGGUUUGAGCAUGAGCAUAUCUGUUAGGACCCGAAAGAUGGUGAACUAUGCGUGA